rnacentral:rRNA from 1 species
CAGUAGCCACGGUAAUACGUAGGUGGCAAGCGUUGUCCGGAAUUAUUGGGCGUAAAGGGCUCGCAGGCGGUUUCUUAAGUCUGAUGUGAAAGCCCCCGGCCCAACCGGGGAGGGUCAUUGGAAACUGGGAAACUUGAGUGCAGAAGAGGAGAGUGGAAUUCCACGUGUAGCGGUGAAAUGCGUAGAGAUGUGGAGGAACACCAGUGGCGAAGGCGACUCUCUGGUCUGUAACUGACGCUGAGGAGCGAAAGCGUGGGGAGCGAACAGGAUUAGAUACCCCCGUAGUCCCUGUCUCUUAUAC